UACGUAGGGUGCGAGCGUUGUCCGGAAUUACUGGGCGUAAAGAGCUCGUAGGUGGUUUGUCGCGUUGUUCGUGAAAACUCACAGCUCAACUGUGGGCGUGCGGGCGAUACGGGCAGACUGGAGUACUGCAGGGGGAGACUGGAAUUCCUGGUGUAGCGGUGAAAUGCGCAGAUAUCAGGAGGAACACCGGUGGCGAAGGCGGGUCUCUGGGCCGAUACUGACGCUGGAGGUGCGAAAAGCCGUGGGGGAGCGAUCCGG
rnacentral:rRNA from 1 species